rnacentral:rRNA from 1 species
GAAGGCAAGCGGAUCUCUUAAAGCCGUUCUCAGUCCGGACUGUAGGCUGCAACUCGCCUACACGAAGCUGGAAUCGCUAGUAAUCGCGGAUCAGCACGCCGCGGUGAAUACGUUCCCGGGCCUUGUACACACCGCCCGUCACACCAUGAGAGUCUGUAACACCCAGAGCCGGUGGGAUAACCUUUAUAGGAGUCAGCCGUCUAAGGUAGGACAGAUGAUUAGGGUGAAGUCGUAACAAGGUAAC